CCUCAAUCAUAAUACAUUCCAUAAGUAGACACCUCCACCAUAAGUGGAUCACACAUCAAUCUAUCAAAAUUCUAUAUCAAUUCUACAUUAACAAUGAAGUUAGGCCAACUUACCCUUUUCCAAAGCCACAAUCAUCAUUCCUCAACUCUCCAAUAAUUCACAAUAGAUAAGCAUAGCUAAUAAUAAAAAUCAACUAUUCAACUCCAUUUAAGCAUAAUUC
rnacentral:lncRNA from 1 species